AUUUCUUGCAAGAAUAUACAAAUAACGCAUAAAAUUUAGAGGAAGGAACACUCAACAAGAGUAUUGUAAACGGUACAAUAUCACUGUCAUGAUCGUGUGCAGGGUUGGACAAAACAAGAUGGCAGACGGUAUUUCCAAACAAAGAUCCAGUCAGGAGCGGACUUCCUUAAGCUUAAAAGUUGCAAGUGAAUGAAGUGUGUUCUAUUUUAUGUCUCCUACUAAAA